rnacentral:rRNA from 1 species
GAUGAACGCUGGCGGCGUGCCUAAUACAUGCAAGUCGAGCGAACGGACGAGAAGCUUGCUUCUCUGAGGUUAGCGGCGGAGGGGUGAGUAACACGUGGAGAACCAACCUAUAAGACUGGGAUAAAUUCGGGAAGCCGGAGCUAAUACCGGAUAAUAUUUUGAACCGCAAGGUUCAAAAGUGAAAGACGGACUUGCUGUCACUUAUAGAUGGAUCCGCGCUGCAUUAGCUAGUUGGUAAGGUAACGGCUUACAAAGGCAACGAUGCAUAGCCGACCUGAGAGGGUGAUCGGCCACCCUGGAACUGAGACACGGUCCAGACUCCUACGGUAGGCAGCAGUCGGGAAUCUUCCGCAAUGGGCGAGAGCCUGACGGUGCAACGCCGCGUGAGUGAUGAAGCUCUUCGGAUCGUAAAACUCUGUUAUUAGGGAAGAACAUAUGUGUAAGUAACUGUGCACAUCUUGACGGUACCUAAUCAGAAAGCCCCGGCUAACUACGUG